UACGUAGGGUGCGAGCGUUGUCCGGAAUUAUUGGGCGUAAAGAGCUCGUAGGCGGUGUGUCACGUCGUUCGUGAAAACUUGGGGCUUAACCCUGAGCUUGCGGUCGAUACGGGCAUGACUGGAGUUCGGCGGGGGAGACUGGAAUUCCUGGUGUAGCGGUGAAAUGCGCAGAUAUCAGGAGGAACACCGGUGGCGAAGGCGGGUCUCUGGGCCGAUACUGACGCUGAGGAGCGAAAGCGUGGGGAGCGAACAGG
rnacentral:rRNA from 1 species